UACGUAGGGUGCAAGCGUUAAUCGGAAUUACUGGGCGUAAAGCGUGCGCAGGCGGUGAUGUAAGACAGUUGUGAAAUCCCCGGGCUCAACCUGGGAACUGCAUCUGUGACUGCAUUGCUGGAGUGCGGCAGAGGGGGAUGGAAUUCCGCGUGUAGCAGUGAAAUGCGUAGAUAUGCGGAGGAACACCGACGGCGAAGGCAAUCCCCUGGGCCUGCACUGACGCUCAUGCACGAAAGCGUGGGGAGCAAACAGG
rnacentral:rRNA from 1 species